UUAAGGUGAAACUAUAUGGCAUAUAGUAUUAAGUUGGAAGUAUAUGGUAUCCAUCAUUCUUUAUUUCACAUUGGAUAUAACUAAAACUUUGCUCUUGAUUUACAUCUCAACAUAUUAUUUAAAACAAUGAAACAUAUGAAAAUGGCAUGGCCAAAACUAUUGGUACCCUUAAAGGUCCAGUGUGUAAUAUGUGUGGUAUUUAGCGGCCUCUAACAGUGAGGUUCUAGAUGGAAGCACUCUGCUGCUCACCCCUCCCCUCCCUAAGACUUUGGAGAGAUUCCAGAAGCUACGGUGGCCUUCAAGGACAAGAAGCUAUUUGCUUAAGAUGUCAUCGUCCACGACAACUUCGAGCAUUGCUAACAAGUCAAGCGAAGAGAGUCAAGUACCGGAGGUUAGAGGAGGAGGAAGAGGGCGAGAAAGAGGGCAAGUUAGCGGUUCUGCUGCAGGCAGGGCAGGGGAAGAGGCUGGAAACCCUCCGAAGGGACCGAAGCGACUGAGAAACUUCUUGAAGAGAUGACCUUGGAGGAGCACAGGCAGCUCACCAGUGAACUGCUUCAGAGGCAGCCAGGGUUAAUUUUUGAUGCCUUGAUGAUGCAUCAGUGCAGACAUGGUGUCCCACCGUUUGCUGGAGUGCCAAGGGUACCAUGGUGUACUUGUAGUAGCUGUACAGACAUACCUACGGACCGGGAGAGGAAAUGCUGUGGCCAGUGCCCUGCAGAUUGUGUAAUAAUAAUACCGCACUUCUCCCAGUACUUUUUAUGCAUUCACAGGCGGUACUGGGGGGACAUUAUGGUAUUUGGCCAAACCAGGAAGCCUGGGGAUGACAACCAGGAGUACCGUUAUGCUGCCUAUAGACAUUUCAUCUAUUGACAGCAUGGCUCUUUAGGCCAGGGAAACCGACUUGUCAUCCCCAGUUGCUGU